AGUGAAGUGGCUGAUUUAGGCGAUAAAUUGUAAAUUUAUUUAUAUCUUUAGGGAUUUUUACUG
rnacentral:tRNA from 1 species